rnacentral:rRNA from 1 species
ACAAGCGGUGGAGCAUGUGGUUUAAUUCGAUGAUACGCGAAGAACCUUACCGGGUUUGACAUGCAGGUGAUCGCCGUUGAAAGACGGUUCCUCUUCGGAGGCACCUGCACAGGUGCUGCAUGGCUGUCGUCAGCUCGUGUCGUAAGAUGUUGGGUUAAGUCCCGCAACGAGCGCAACCCUUAUCCCUAGUUGCCAUCAGGUAAAGCUGGGAACUCUGGGGAGACUGCCGGUGAUAAACCGGAGGAAGGCGGGGAUGACGUCAAGUCCUCAUGGCCCUUACAUCCCGGGCUACACACGUGCUACAAUGGCAGGUACAGAGGGCUGCGAAGCCGCGAGGUGGAGCGAAUCCCAGAAAACCUGUCUCAGUCCGGAUUGAAGUCUGCAACUCGACUUCAUGAAGGCGGAAUCGCUAGUAACCGCGAAUCAGCAGGUCGCGGUGAAUACGUUCCCGGGCCUU